GCCUGGCUGGCUGAGCUGGUAGAGCAUGUGACUCUUGAUCUCAGGGUUGUGAGUUCCAGCCCCACCUUGGGCA
rnacentral:tRNA from 1 species